rnacentral:rRNA from 1 species
CAAUUUUUGAUGAGAGUUUGAUCCUGGCUCAGGAUUAACGCUGGCGGCAUGCCUAACACAUGCAAGUCGAAUGUGCCCCUCACUCUGUUCCGCAGUAAUUUUAUUAUUGGGCGAUAGAGUGAGGGACAACAUGGCAGACGGCUGAGUAACACGUGGGUAUCUACCCUUGGGUCGGGUAUAACUCCGCGAAAGCGGAGAUAAUUCCCGAUAUGUCCC